UACGUAGGGUGCAAGCGUUUGUCCGGAAUUAUUGGGCGUAAAGAGCUCGUAGGCGGUCUGUCGCGUCUGCUGUGAAACCUAGGGCUUAACUCUGGCGUGCAGUGGGUACGGGCAGACUAGAGUGCGGUAGGGGAGACUGGAAUUCUGGUGUAGCGGUGAAAUGCGCAGAUAUCAGGAGGAACACCGGUGGCGAAGGCGGGUCUCUGGGCCGAUACUGACACUGGAGGAGCGAAAGCGUGGGGAGCGAACAGG
rnacentral:rRNA from 1 species